AGACGGGUGAGUAACAUGUGGGUAUCUACCCUAUGGCCUGGAAUAACACGAGGAAACUUGUGCUAAUACCGGAUAAGUCUUUACGGAGAAAGCUUUAUGCACCAUUGGAUGAGCCCGCACUUGAUUAGUUUGUUGGUAGGGUAAUGGCCUACCAAGACUUUGAUCAAUAGCUGAUUUGAGAGGAUGAUCAGCCACAUUGGGACUGAGACACGGCCCAAACUCCUACGGGAGGCAGCAGUGGGGAAUCUUGCACAAUGGAGGAAACUCUGAUGCAGCGAUGCCGCGUGAGUGAAGAAGGCCUUUGGGUUGUAAAGCUCUUUCGUCGGGGAAGAAAAUGACUGUACCCGAAUAAGAAGGUCCGGC
rnacentral:rRNA from 1 species